GGGCCGGUAGCUCAGUCGGUUAGAGCAAGCGACUCAUAAUCGCUGGGUCGGGGGUUCGAGUCCCUCCCGGCCUA
rnacentral:tRNA from 2 species